rnacentral:pre_miRNA from 1 species
CAACAAAUCCUCUGGGAAUCUUGUUAGAAGGCAGAUUCUGAUCCAGCAGUUCUGGGGAGGAGCCUGAGAGCCCACCUUUCUAUCAAGCUCUCAGGAGAUGCCGAU